UAAGAAAACCAUUUUCAUGAGUUAGGUAUAUUCCCUUGUGCCAUUCAUAUUUCAUGUGGCAGAUAAAAAUAUUAAAUUUAACAUCAUGUUAUAUUAUAUAAGAACCACGGAUUAACUAAACGUCAAAACUGUGUAUUUUAUUCGUUUAACACGUGGGUAGGUUAUACGUCAACAUAUUACACUGUCCACCUUUAUAAAAAUUGUUUUAUAGCUUGCAAUAAACUACAAUAUAAUAACGAAACGAACAAAAUCCACACGAACGCGAUUAAUCAAAUCGACAAAAUAAUGUCGAACGACGUAGCACCUCCAACUACGUCACCGUCGCCAAAGGAAUCGUCUGUAGACUUGGAAUACGUUGACCUCGACUAUGUAACCUUGGCUGUCUACAGUUUUCUAUCGUUUAUUUAUGGAAAUUACCGAAUCCAAUUUCGACAUCAACAAAGGACUAAACCAAGAAUAUGCCGCACAAGUAGUUUGUGUUCAAACCCAAUACAUAGAUCGUUUCAGAUUUUUUGAGAACACAACGACCAAGUUGUAAGUGACGACGUUGACCGAAUUUGUGUGCUGUUUAAAACAUACAAAAAUUCCAAGUACUCCUCGACAUGUACACUUCGCUUCAUGAGCUGCCUGAUUUUACGUUUGGUUGUUUUUGUGUCGAUCAAUUACUUUUGCCUACUAUUCAAACGUAAUUUGUGUGAUAUUUAUCAAUGCAAAAAUUCAUUGAUAAGGAACAAAUUUACCGUGUAGACCAUUUACCGAUAGUUUUUAUGGCUACCAGACAAGAUGACAUAAUUAAAGCAUCUGUGGCAACAAGUGUUUCUGUCACUAUAAUCUGUUUGACGAAAGACAAAGGCGAUGUUAUUUAAGCGCUAGCUAGUUUAAAUAUUUAGUUGACCUAAACGAAGACAACAUACCACCAGAAGUCGAAGAACAAAGGCAGACUAGUAGAAUGAAGAAAGCAAAUUUUGGUGAUUUAGUGGCGCAAUUGGAUGAUGUACUGUUCAAAGUAUUACUGUCAAUUAGAAUAUUAACAGCAUCGGCCACAAGAAAUACUUUGAAAUUCACCUAACCUGAAUUUUACCACCAAGUGGCCAUGAUUUACGUAUUUUGACAAUAAGUAGCUUUAUCUGUUGUGUGCUUAAAUGACUUAGACUAGUCUGAUUAAAGUUUGAAUAAUUUAUUACAAUAAUAGUAAGGUAUUAAAAUAAGUUACACGUUAAAGACUACAAUAAUUUAUUUUAAUGUUUUGCCAUCUAAUAAGAUACAGAAUUGUAUUCUUCCAUAAUUCGCUAUACUUGUGUUGUAACACUAAUUAUCACUUGUGUCCAGGUAACGUUCAAUAAACUGUUAUUAUUUUAUUGCU